rnacentral:snoRNA from 1 species
UGCCUUGUUCUUCAGCAACUAGACACAACCUGCUGUGUGUCUGUAUUGGAAAACGGGGCUAGAAGAGUAACAGGUUCUGCUUUCCUCGCUGUACAUUUAAUUGCAGUGGUGACAAUGAGACCUGUAACAAGU